rnacentral:rRNA from 1 species
GAUGAACGCUGGCGGCGUGCCUAAUACAUGCCAGUCGAGCGAACAGACGAGGAGCUUGCUCCUCUGACGUUAGCGGCGGACGGGUGAGUAACACGUGGAUAACCUACCUAUAAGACUGGGAUAACUUCGGGAAACCGGAGCUAAUACCGGAUAAUAUAUUGAACCGCAUGGUUCAAUAGUGAAAGACGGUUUUGCUGUCACUUAUAGAUGGAUCCGCGCCGCAUUAGCUAGUUGGUAAGGUAACGGCUACCAAGGCAACGAUGCGUAGACGACCUGAGAGGGUGAUCGGCCACACUGGAACUGAGACACGGUCCAGACUCCUACGGGAGGCAGCAGUAGGGAAUCUUCCGCAAUGGGCGAAAGCCUGACGGAGCAACGCCGCGUGAGUGAUGAAGGUCUUCGGAUCGUAAAACUCUGUUAUUAGGGAAGAACAAAUGUGUAAGUAACUAUGCACGUCUUGACGGUACCUAAUCAGAAAGCCACGGCUAACUACGUG